rnacentral:rRNA from 1 species
GAUGAACGCUGGCGGCGUGCCUAAUACAUGCAAGUCGAGCGAACAGACGAGGAGCUUGCUCCUCUGACGUUAGCGGCGGACGGGUGAGUAACACGUGGAUAACCUACCUAUAAGACUGGGAUAACUUCGGGAAACCGGAGCUAAUACCGGAUAAUAUAUUGAACCGCAUGGUUCAAUAGUGAAAGACGGUUUUGCUGUCACUUAUAGAUGGAUCCGCGCCGCAUUAGCUAGUUGGUAAGGUAACGGCUUACCAAGGCAACGAUGCGUAGCCGACCUGAGAGGAUGAUCGGCCACACUGGAACUGAGACACGGUCCAGACUCCUACGGGAGGCAGCAGUAGGGAAUCUUCCGCAAUGGGCGAAAGCUUGACGGAGCAACGCCGCGUGAGUGAUGAAGGUCUUCGGAUCGUAAAACUCUGUUAUUAGGGAAGAACAAAUGUGUAAGUAACUCUGCACGUCUUGACGGUACCUAAUCAAAAAGCCACGGCUAACUACGUG